rnacentral:rRNA from 1 species
AAUCUCUUAGAAAUAAGAGAGUGCCUCAUUAGAGGAGCCUGGUGACAGGUGCUGCAUGGCUGUCGUCAGCUCGUGUCGUGAGAUGUUGGGUUAAGUCCCGCAACGAGCGCAACCCUUGCCUUUAGUUGCCAUCAUUAAGUUGGGCACUCUAGAGGGACUGCCGGUGUCAAACCGGAGGAAGGUGGGGAUGACGUCAAGUCCUCAUGGCCUUUAUGACCAGGGCUACACACGUACUACAAUGGCAUGUACAAAGGGCAGCCACUUCGCAAGAAGGAGCGAAUCCUAAAAACAUGUCUCAGUCCGGAUUGGAGUCUGCAACUCGACUCCAUGAAGUUGGAAUCGCUAGUAAUCGUAGAUCAGCAUGCUACGGUGAAUACGUUCCCGGGCCUUGUACACACCGCCCGUCACACCACGGGAGUUGGUUGUACCAGAAGUAGUUGAGCGAACCUUUAUGGACGCAGACUACCAAGGUAUGGCUGGUAACUGGGGUGAAGUCGUAACAAGGUA